rnacentral:rRNA from 1 species
AGCGAACGUUAGCGGCGGGCUUAACACAUGCAAGUCGAGCGAGAAAAGGGCUUCGGCCCUGAGUAAAGCGGCGGACGGGUGAGUAACACGUAGGUAAUCUUCCCUUGAGCGGGGGACAACGAGCCGAAAGGCUCGCUAAUACCGCAUAAGUUUCCAGAGACCUCGGUCUUUGGAAGGAAAGCUAGGCAGCAAUGUCCGGCACUCGAGGAGGAGCCUGCGUCGCAUCAGCUAGUUGGGGGGUAACGGCCUACCAAGGCGAAGACGCGUAGCUGGUCUGAGAGGAUGAUCAGCCACACUGGGACUGAGACACGGCCCAGACUCCUACGGGAGGCAGCAGUGGGGAAUAUUGGACAAUGGGCGCAAGCCUGAUCCAGCCACGCCGCGUGAGUGAUGAAGGCCU